rnacentral:lncRNA from 1 species
CCUAGCAACCGGUCUUCUUUGGGUUUGUUGGCUCAGGAACCCAAUCUGCAUGAUCUUGUUUAUAGCCAGCUACAAACAUUUUGCAGCGUUUUACUAAACGUUUGUGAAGUGUUGUCAUAUAAAACAUCUCUUAUGAUACUUACAGAAGUCCCGAGGUAGACAGAAGACUUACCUAGUAUACUCUUUUUAUGGACAAGAAAACGGAGAAAGUUUAAAGAGACUUGACCCAGCUUAACAAAGGGUCUGAUGGAAGGCUUUCUCAUUUCACAGCUGACAGCACUGGAGACAGAGCAGGA